CCCGUCUUGGCUAAGUGGUUACAGCAUCGCCCUUGUAAGGCGAGGAUCGGGAGUUCGAAUCUCUCAGACGGCU